UACGAAGGGGGGCUAGCGUUGCUCGGAAUUACUGGGCGUAAAGGGCGCGUAGGCGGAUAGUUUAGUUGGGGGGUGAAAGCCCGAGGCUCAACCUCGGAACUGCCUUUUGAUACUGCAAAUCUCGAGUCCGGAAGAGGUGAGUGGAAUUCCUAGUGUAGAGGUGAAAUUCGUAGAUAUUAGGAAGAACACCAGUGGCGAAGGCGGCUCACUGGUCCGGUACUGACGCUGAGGUGCGAAAGCGUGGGGAGCAAACAGG
rnacentral:rRNA from 1 species